UCCGAGUUGUCCCCGGCAGUCUCCUUAGAGUCCCCGCCAUUACGCGCUGGCAACUAAGGACAGGGGUUGCGCUCGUUGCGGUACUUAACCCAACAUCUCACGACACGAGCUGACGACAGCCAUGCAGCACCUGUGCAUGGACUCCGAAGAGAGGCCGGCGUUUCUGCCGGCUGUCCCAUGCAUGUCAAGCCUAGGUAAGGUUCUUCGCGUUGCGUCGAAUUAAACCACAUGCUCCACCGCUUGUGCGGGCCCCCGUCGAUUCCUUUGAGUUUUAACCUUGCGGCCGUAAUCCCCAGGCGGGGAACUUAAUGCGUUAGCUGCGGCACGGGAGGGGUCAAUACCCCCCACACCUAGUUCCCAUCGUUUACGGCGUGGACUAC
rnacentral:misc_RNA from 1 species